rnacentral:rRNA from 1 species
ACUCAAUAGAUACCCGGGUAGUCCCAGCAGUAAACGGUGCGCGUUUGGUGUGAGCAGAUUCGACUCUGUUCGCGCCGGAGCUAACGCGUUAAACGCGCCGCCUGGGAAGUACGAUCGCAAGAUUAAAACUCAAAGAAAUUGACGGGGGCCCGCACAAGCGGUGGAGUAUGUGGCUUAAUUCGAUGCAACGCGAAGAACCUUACCUGGGUUUGACAUGCAUCUCUAAGGAGGUGAAAGCUUCCGAGGGUAGCAAUACCCGAUUUGCACAGGUGCUGCAUGGCUGUCGUCAGCUCGUGUCGUGAGAUGUUGGGUUUAAGUCCCGCAACGAGCGCAACCCUUGUAUGCUGUUGCUAUGCUUACGCAUAGCUCUCUGCGUAGACUGCCCCGUGAAACGGGGAGGAAGGUGGGGAUGACGUCAAGUCAGCAUGGCCCUUACACCCAGGGCUGCACACGUACUACAAUGCUCAGUACAAUUAGAACCUGCCCCGCGAGGGUUGGGAAAUCAGCGAAAACUGAG